rnacentral:tRNA from 1 species
GGGGGAUUAGCUCAGUUGGGAGAGCGUUUGCAUGGCAUGCAAAAGGGCAGGGGUUCGAAUCCCCUAUCCUCCACCA